AUGGCAGCAGCCGCACCAGGCGGACCCCGCCGCGCUCGCCGGGCUGUUGCAGCAGCCGCUACAGCUGCCAUCCACCGCCUCGUCCUAGCUGCCGUGGCAGCCGUCGCACCAGGCGGCCUCCGCCGCGCUCGCCAGGCUGCAGCAACAGCCGCUGCAGCUGCCAUCCACCGCCACCGCCGCCCCGUCCUGGCUGCCGUGACAGCCGCCGCACCAGGUGGCCUCCGCCGCGCUCACCGGGCCGCAACAGCAGCUGUCAUCCACCGCCACCAUCGCCCCGCCCUGGCUGCAGUGGCAGCCACCGCUCCUGGCGACCUCCGCCGCGCCCGGCGCUCCGCCGCUGCAACUGCAGCAGCCAUCGCCGGUUAG
rnacentral:rRNA from 1 species